rnacentral:misc_RNA from 1 species
CCGAAUUGUCAACACGAGUUGUUGCUGGUCCCCAAACGGGGGCACGUGCACACUCUGUUUGCACAUCCACUCACACCUGUGCACCCUCCGUAGUUCUGCAGCCUGGGGUCUCUGUCCCCCAUGCCGUGGUUCUAUGCAUUUUACACACACACUGUAGUGAAGUCUUGUGGAAUGUAUAUCGCGUUUAACGCAAUACAAUA